CAGUCACUGACAUUAGAUACCCGUGUAGUCCAGGGUGUAAACGCUGCAGACUUGGUGUUGGGAACCCUUCGGGGGUGCUCAGUGCCGGAGAGAAGUUGUUAAGUCUGCUACUUGGGGAGUACGUCCGCAAGGAUGAAACUUAAAGGAAUUGGCGGGGGAGCACCGCAACGGGAGGAGCGUGCGGUUUAAUUGGAUUCAAUGCCGAAAAACUCACCAGCAGCGACUGUUACAUGAAAGUCAGGUUGAUGACCUUACUAGAUUUUCAG
rnacentral:rRNA from 1 species